CAAUAGCGUAUAUUAAAGUUGUUGCGGUCAAAAAGCUCGUAGUUGGAUUUCUACCGAAGAUAGCCGGUCGGGUCUUCGACCUUGUAUCUGGUUUUGUCUUUGGUAUCCUCAUAGGGAACGUCUCUGCGCUUUAUUGCGUGGUGCGGUAUCUAUGACUUUUACUUUGAGGAAAUUAGAGUGUUCACGGCAGGCAAACGCCUUGAAUAUAUUAGCAUGGAAUAAUAACAUAGGAUCUUCGUCCUAUUUUGUUGGUUUCUAGGGCUAAGAUAAUGAUUAAUAGGGAUAAUUGGGGGCAUCUGUAUCAACGCGUCAGAGGUGGAAUUCUUGGAUUGCGUUGCGACAAACUACUGCGAAAGCAUUUGCCAAGGAUGUUUUCAUUGA
rnacentral:rRNA from 1 species